rnacentral:rRNA from 1 species
AAAGAAACCAACAGGGAUUGCCCUAGUAACGGCGAGUGAAGCGGCAACAGCUCAAAUUUGAAAGCUGGCUUAGGCCCGCAUUGUAAUUUGCAGAGGAUGCUUCUGGCGAGGUGCCUUCCGAGUUCCCUGGAACGGGACGCCAUAGAGGGUGAGAGCCCCGUAUGGAUGGACACCAGACCUGUGUGAAGCUCCUUCAACGAGUCGAGUAGUUUGGGAAUGCUGCUCUAAAUGGGAGGUAAAUCUCUUCUAAAGCUAAAUACCGGCCAGAGACCGAUAGCGCACAAGUAGAGUGAUCGAAAGAUGAAAAGCACCUUGAAAAGGGGGUUAAACAGUACGUGAAAUUGUUGAAAGGGAAGCGCUUGUGACCAGACUUGCGCCGGGCAGCUCAUCAGGGGUUCUCCCCUGUGCACUCUGCCCGGCUCAGGCCAGCAUCGGUUCUCGUGGGAGGAUAAGAACGGUAGGAACGUGGCCCCCCUCCGGGGGGGUGUUAUAGCCUGCCGUACGAUACUCCCGUGGGGACCGAGGUUCGCGCUCCGCAAGGAUGCUGGCGUAAUGGUCAUCAGCGACCCGUCUUGAAACACGGACCAAGGAGUCGUCCAUUAGAGCGAGCGUUUGGGUGUAAAACCCGCACGCGUAAUGAAAGUGAACGCAGGUGAGAGCUUCGGCGCAUCAUCGACCGAUCCUGAUGUCUUCGGAUGGAUUUGAGUAAGAGUUUUAACGGACGGACCCGAAAGACAGUGAACUAUGCUUGUAUAGGGUGAAGCCAGAGGAAACUCUGGUGGAGGCUCGCAGCGGUUCUGACGUGCAAAUCGAUCGUCAAAUAUGAGCAUGGGGGCGAAAG